ACAGACCUGAUGGCAUAUGCCAAACCAGAGGAAAGAAAGCGUUCAGCAUCAUGAGAAAAUGAGAAAUCAUUGGGCAUUUGAGAACAACUGAAAAGUGGAGUAUUCACUCAGUAUCAUCCUCCAGUUCCAGCUGCAGUUUUAGGUGAACACAGUAUCUAUACUUUAUUUCU